AUUGAACGCUGGCGGCAGGCCUAACACAUGCAAGUCGAACGGUAACAGGAAGCAGCUUGCUGCUUUGCUGACGAGUGGCGGACGGGUGAGUAAUGUCUGGGAAACUGCCUGAUGGAGGGGGAUAACUACUGGAAACGGUAGCUAAUACCGCAUAACGUCGCAAGACCAAAGAGGGGGACCUUAGGGCCUCUUGCCAUCGGAUGUGCCCAGAUGGGAUUAGCUAGUAGGUGGGGUAACGGCUCACCUAGGCGACGAUCCCUAGCUGGUCUGAGAGGAUGACCAGCCACACUGGAACUGAGACACGGUCCAGACUCCUACGGGAGGCAGCAGUGGGGAAUAUUGCACAAUGGGCGCAAGCCUGAUGCAGCCAUGCCGCGUGUAUGAAGAAGGCCUUCGGGUUGUAAAGUACUUUCAGCGGGGAGGAAGGGAGUAAAGUUAAUACCUUUGCUCAUUGACGUUACCCGCAGAAGAAGCACCGGCGAACUCCGU
rnacentral:rRNA from 1 species